CCUACGGGGGACAGCAGUGAGGAAUAUUGGUCAAUGGGCGGGAGCCUGAACCAGCCAAGUCGCGUGAGGGAAGACGGUCCUACGGAUUGUAAACCUCUUUUGCCGGGGAGCAACGGGGUCCUUGCGAGGGCCCAAUGAGAGUACCCGGAGAAAAAGCAUCGGCUAACUCCGUGCCAGCAGCCGCGGUCAUACGGGGGAUGCGAGCGGUAUCCGGAUUUAUUGGGUUUAAAGGGUGCGUAGGCGGGCUGUUAAGUCAGCGUUCAAAUGUCGGGGCUCAACCCCGGCCUGCCGUUGAAACUGGCGGCCUCGAGUGGGCGAGAAGUAUGCGGAAUGCGUGGUGUAGCGGUGAAAUGCAUAGAUAUCACGCAGAACUCCGAUUGCGAAGGCAGCAUACCGGCGCCCUACUGACGCUGAGGCACGAAAGCGUGGGUAUCGAACAGGAUUAGAUACCCCAGUAGUC
rnacentral:rRNA from 1 species